UACGUAGGGGGGCAAGCGUUGUCCGGAAUUAUUGGGCGUAAAGAGCGUGUAGGCGGUUCGGUAAGUCUGCCGUGAAAACUGGAGGCUCAACCUUCAGAGGUCGACCGAAACCAUCUGGCUAGAGUCCGGGAGAGGAGAGUGGAAUUCCUGGUGUAGCGGUGAAAUGCGCAGAUAUCAGGAGGAACACCGGUGGCGAAGGCGGGUCUCUGGGCCGUAACUGACGCUGAGGAGCGAAAGCAUGGGGAGCGAACAGG
rnacentral:rRNA from 1 species